GAUCAUUAUCGAAUUUGUAGGGUUAGGGUUGUAGCUGGCCAGUCAAAUGGCAUGUGCACGCCUGAGCCUGCUUAUCCACACACACCUGUGAACAACGUCGUAUGGGGUCUUUCUGGGCCUUAUGCGUCUUUCAUAUACCCUUUGUAUGUCUAUAGAAUGUAUGACUUAUUUGUCAUUUGCCUUAAAAACGCAAUUGAAAAUAUAACUUUCAACAACGGAUCUCUUGGCUCUCGCAUCGAUGAAGAACGCAGCGAAAUGCGAUAAGUAAUGUGAAUUGCAGAUUUUCAGUGAAUCAUCGAAUCUUUGAACGCACCUUGCGCUCCUUGGUAUUCCGAGGAGCAUGCCUGUUUGAGUGUCAUUAAAUUCUCAACCCUGUCAAUUUUAUUAUUGAUCAGCGGCUUGGACUUGGAGUGUGCUGGCGAAAGUCGGCUCCUCUUAAAUAUAUCAGCGGAAAAUUAAUCUGAAUCCUUCCGGUCAUCGGUGUGAUAACUAUGUCUCGCCGUUUGCUGAGGGAUACAGUUCCUGCUUAUAAUCGUCUUUCUUAAGACAAACAUCUAUUGGGUUUCACGACCUUUUAGAAAAACCAAUUUUGACCUCAAAUCAGGUAGG
rnacentral:rRNA from 1 species